AAUCAACGCUGGCGGCGUGCCUAACACAUGCAAGUCGAACGCGACUGGGGCUUCGGCCUCAGUUGAGUGGCGAACGGGUGAGUAACACGUGGGUGACCUACCUUCGAAUGGGGGAUAACGUCCCGAAAGGGACGCUAAUACCGCAUAACAUCCUGCCUUUGAACAGGCGGAGAUCAAAGCCGGGGAUCGCAAGACCUGGCGUUUGAAGAGGGGCCUGCGUCCGAUUAGCUAGUUGGGAGGUAACGGCUCACCAAGGCGACGAUCGGUAGCCGGCCUGAGAGGGCGGGUCGGCCACACUGGCACUGAGACACGGGCCAGACUCCUACGGGAGGCAGCAGUGGGGAAUUUUGGGCAAUGGGCGCAAGCCUGACCCAGCAACGCCGCGUGAAGGAUGAAAUCCCUCUGGGAU
rnacentral:rRNA from 1 species